UGGGACUACUGAUGCCAGCCUUGGGGAAGUGAACAUCUGAUGUGAGUGAACAUCUCACUCUGCAGAACUCCACCUGACCUCUGGGUAAAGCCAGACUGACUUCUCUGAGGGACUCUACACGCUUAACUUUCUUCCGCUUCCCCCAGGUUUAGAAGUAUUUAAUACCACUAAUCCCAUUGGAAUGGCCCUCACAUGGCCCCAAGGUUUCUAAUGCUCAGUAUUUGGGAGACACCUGCUGGCCACUUUCAGUACUGCAUCCUUUUCUGGCCAAACUACUAAGAAAAUUUACCCCAUCUCUGGUCUUUCACAAUGGUAGUUCGUAAGAUAGGUGUUGAAUUCAGAAAAUGAGAUGUGAUCCACCACCUCAUGAGAUGCACAGGACACCUCUGACUCCAGGUAAUAGCAAGCACAUUGUCACAACCACUAGCAACCAUGCAAAGAAUGAGGAAUCUUCAGUCAGACUCCCCGGAUCAAGGCUUCCACUCACCGGCUGUGUGUGGUGGACAAGUUGAUUCAUUUCCCUGAGCCUCAGUGUCAUUAUCUGCACAAUGGUAAUGAUAGCCAUGCCCUUCUGGGGCUGUUUGGAGGAUUAACUGAGAUUACAAUCUGAUAUCCCACCCCCAGUGCAGGAUAUUGCCAGUACUCUGUGACCAUCCCUGUGAUUGGUAGCUGUCAGUGUUUGUGGAUGAAAUUCACCAAAAGGAGCAGCAACUGUGGCUACAGUGUCCUAAGCGAAGUGUCUCUGAAGACACAUCCCUGAAGGGCCACAACCCUGGUGUGAGGUUGUCUCAGAUGAGUGAAGCCACUCCAGAUACCAGGUACCUCUUCGCAGCCUCAUGGAGCUUCAGUCCUUGGUGAGAUUCGAGCAGUCAUCUAAGCCCGCCUCACCAUCCUAGCUUGAGUUGGCAUACUCUCACAGAAGGCCCGCCUGGGGUCUGGUGCCACGCUGAGCGUUGAAGGUCAGGGAUGAGCGGAUGAAGCAGAGCAGAGCCCAGUGGGGACGUGAACCCCACUGCGGACUUAGUGCAGGCCUGGUGGUCAACAGCCCUGUCUCUGACGGGUGUAGUGGGGCAGAUCUACAACCCCAGCAUUUGGGAAGUCAAGAAGCUCAGAGUUAUCCGUGGCUACCUAAUGAGUUCCAGGAUGGUCUGGGCUCCAUGGGACCCUGUCUUAAAACAAC